CCUCACAGGAGAUCUGAAGGUGCAUUUUAUUAUCUCAGUCCCUUCCUGGGUUAGGCUGACCUCACAGGAGAUCUGAAGGUGCAUUUUAUUAUCUCAGUCCCUUCUUGGGUUAGGUGGCCCUCACAGGAGAUCUGAAGGUGCAUUUUAUUAUCUCAGUCCCUUCCUGGGUUAGGUGGACCUCACAGGAGAUCUGAAGGUGCAUUUUAUUAUCUCAGUCCCUUCCUGGGUUAGGCUGACUUCACAGGAGAUCUGAAGGUGCAUUUUAUUAUCUCAGUCCCUUCUUGGGUUAGGCUGACCUCACAGGAAAUCUGAAGGUGCAUUUUAUUAUCUCAGUCCCUUCCUGGGUUAGGCGGACCUCACAGGAGAUCUGAAGGUGCAUUUUAUUAUCUCAGUCCCUUCUUGGGUUAGGUGGACCUCACAGGAGAUCUGAAGGUGCAUUUUACUAUCUCAGUCCCUUCUUGGGUUAGGCGGACCUCACAGGAGAUCUGAAGGUGCAUUUUAUUAUCUCAGUCCCUUCCUGGGUUAGGCCGACCUCACAGGAGAUCUGAAGGUGCAUUUUAUUAUCUCAGUCCCUUCCUGGGUUAGGCUGACCUCACAGGAGAUCUGAAGGUGCAUUUUAUUAUCUCAGUCCCUUCUUGGGUUAGGUGGCCCUCACAGGAGAUCUGAAGGUGCAUUUUAUUAUCUCAGUCCCUUCCUGGGUUAGGUGGACCUCACAGGAGAUCUGAAGGUGCAUUUUAUUAUCUCAG
rnacentral:lncRNA from 1 species